rnacentral:rRNA from 1 species
UGGGGAAUCUUGGACAAUGGGGGGCAACCCUGAUCCAGCCAUGCCGCGUGGGUGAAGAAGGCCUUAGGGUUGUAAAGCCCUUUCAGCGGGAAAGAUGAUGACGGUACCCGCAGAAGAAGCCCCGGCUAACACCGUGCCAGGAGCCGCGGUAAUAGGGAGGGGGCAAGGGUUGUUCGGAAUUACUGGGCGUAAAGGGCGCGUAGGCGGCCGGUCGCGUCAGGCGUGAAAGCCCCGGGCUCAACCUGGGAACAGCGUUUGAUACGGGCCGGCUGGAGAUCGGGAGAGGAGUGUGGAAUUCCCAGUGUAGAGGUGAAAUUCGUAGAUAUUGGGAAGAACACCAGUGGCGAAGGCGGCACUCUGGCCCGUAUCUGACGCUGAGGCGCGAAAGCGUGGGGAGCAAACAGGAUUAGAUACCCCCGUAGUCC